rnacentral:rRNA from 1 species
CUUAAUUUUAUUAAGAGUGACGGGCGAUAUGUACGUGUUAAAUUUCUUUUUAAAUUUAAAUUUAUUUUUUUAAUUUACUUCUAAGUCCUAUUUCAUUUGAUUUUUUUUAUAAUUCCAUUUUUGUUUCAUUGUAUUCCUCUUUUUCUAAUUUUUUUCUCUUGUCUUGAUUUGUUUUUUGUUUUAAUUUUAAUUUUUAGAUUAUUUUUUUAUUUUUUCUUUAAAACAAUGAUAUGAGAAGUAAAAAAUUUAGUUCAUUAGAUCGUGGGUUGUCGUUUAAAAAGUAGAAUCCCCUAGUUUGAUUUUACACCGUCAUUUUUUUGUAGAUUUUUCAUGAUUUAGAUACUUUCUUUUAUUUUUCUAACA